rnacentral:rRNA from 1 species
UACGUAGGUGGCAAGCGUUAUCCGGAAUUAUUGGGCGUAAAGAGCGCGCAGGUGGUUGAUUAAGUCUGAUGUGAAAGCCCACGGCUUAACCGUGGAGGGUCAUUGGAAACUGGUCGACUUGAGUGCAGAAGAGGGAAGUGGAAUUCCAUGUGUAGCGGUGAAAUGCGUAGAGAUAUGGAGGAACACCAGUGGCGAAGGCGGCUUCCUGGUCUGCAACUGACACUGAGGCGCGAAAGCAUGGGGAGCAAACAGGAUUAGA